AGGCCCAUAGCACAAUUGGCUAGUGCGCCGGACUCCAAAUCCGGAGGUUGGGGGUUCGAGUCCUCCUGGGCCUG
rnacentral:tRNA from 1 species